rnacentral:rRNA from 1 species
CGGGUGAGUAACACGUAGACAACCUGCCGACAGGAUGGGGACAACAUUCCGAAAGGAAUGCUAAUACCGAAUGAAGCGGAGGAGAGGCAUCUCUCUUCCGUGAAAGAUGGCCUCUUUUUAUGCUAUCACCUGUCGAUGGGUCUGCGUCUGAUUAGCUGGUUGGUGAGGUAACGGCUCACCAAGGCGACGAUCAGUAGCCGGUCUGAGAGGAUGAACGGCCACAUUGGGACUGAGACACGGCCCAGACUCC